rnacentral:lncRNA from 1 species
AACGUUCGAACGCCAUACCAAGAAGAAUCUUGGCGUUCGAACGCAAAGAGGAAAAUUGAUGAAUACCGUUCGAACGCUCUUGCCUACAGUUCGAAAAGUGCGAGAGUUGAAUUAGAGAGUUCGAACGCUCCUUCUUACAGUUCGAAAAAUGCGAGACUGAAAAGUUUGGUUUUUGCCUAAGAGUUCGAACGCUCCAUGGAAGAAGGAUUAGGGCGUUCGAACGCCAAGAA